UACGGGGGGGCCAAGCGUUGUUCGGAAUUACUGGGCGUAAAGGGCGCGUAGGCGGCCAUCUAAGUCAGACGUGAAAUCCCUCGGCUCAACCGAGGAACUGCGUCUGAUACUGGAAGGCUUGAAUCCGGGAGAGGGAUGUGGAAUUCCAGGUGUAGCGGUGAAAUGCGUAGAUAUCUGGAGGAACACCGGUGGCGAAGGCGGCAUCCUGGACCGGUAUUGACGCUGAGGCGCGAAAGCUAGGGGAGCAAACGGG
rnacentral:rRNA from 1 species